rnacentral:misc_RNA from 1 species
CCUUCUACAACAUGCAAUCUCCAAUAACACAACUCCAAAACUAUAAACGUCUGCUUUAGCUGUCAAAGGAAGAUUAUGAUGCCAUUCUGGUGCACAUAACCUCUAGUUCCUCUGAUUCCUGUAAAGGUUUUUGUUUGGUCUGGCUUCAGCAGCUUUGCCAAUCCGAAGUCAGAAAUUUUUGGACACCUGUACUCAUCCAGUAGUAUGUUUCCUGGUUUUAUAUCACAGUGGAUAAUCUGUG